rnacentral:rRNA from 1 species
GACGAACGCUGGCGGCGUGCUUAACACAUGCAAGUCGAACGGAAAGGCCCUGCUUUUGUGGGGUGCUCGAGUGGCGAACGGGUGAGUAACACGUGAGUAACCUGCCCUUGACUUUGGGAUAACUUCAGGAAACUGGGGCUAAUACCGGAUAGGAGCUCCUGCUGCAUGGUGGGGGUUGGAAAGUUUCGGCGGUGGGGGAUGGGCCCGCGGUUUAUCAGUUUGUUGGUGGGGUAGGGGCUUACCAAGGCUUUGACGGGUAGCCGGCCUGGGGGGGUGACCGGCCACAUUGGGACUGAGAUACGGCCCAGACGCCUACGGGAGGCAGCAGUGGGGAAUAUUGCACAAUGGGCGGAAGCCUGAUGCAGCAACGCCGCGUGCGGGAUGACGGCCUUCGGGUUGUAAACCGCUUUCGCCUGUGACGAAGCGUGAGUGACGGUAAUGGGUAAAGAAGCACCGGCUAACUACGUG